UUGAUGCUUCUUACUCCUCAUCUAGGAAUCCAAGAGAACUGUGAGUGGCCCCUUCUGGACUUCGGAGCCUGCCUUUUACAGUACAGAAGGACAACCCAGUAGGACAACUAUCAGAGGCAAAAACCAGAACCACUCUACUUAGUGCUCUACUCUCUUCGCUUGCAAGAGUGAACAGAGCGAGUUAGCAGGAAGCAAGAACUCGACUAUUGAAACAAUGGUCCCCAAAGGGUUGGAAUUUCUCCUGGAAAUUUGGAAUUGCUCCUGAAGUGUGCUGCCAGCCAUAGAAGGAAUGUCUCUCCCAGGAAGAGAUUUCACACCUCUCGGACUGCCUGACCUGCAAGACUGGGGCUGGCACCCACCUCUACCAGAACUGCUGAGCUAUGCCUACCUCCUGGUCCAUAUUCACACCCCAAGGAUAGCCUCGGGAUGCUAGGACUGGACUUCUUGACAAGGAUCACCAACUCUUCCUUCGAUGCCCAGGCUCCUGAAAAUGUGCUGUUUGGUCAAGAGGACGCUGUGCUCUGCCAGGGAGAGACUCACCGCUUGUUUGAAAAUAAAGAACUUCCUGCCCCACAGUUUUCAUCAGGAUUAUUUCAGAAGAAAGUGCUGGUCUUGCAGAAGCUGAGCAGGCUCUGGAUUCUAUAGGACAUGGAGGUCUGUAUUUGGGAGACUACCAUGACAUUGUUUUAAGAGAAACCUUGCAAACAAGCUUCCAUUCAAAUGGUUUCUAGAGUCAAACAAACAUGAGCUGCCACCCCUGCAAGAUGUGGAUUGGAUCAUGACCAACAGUCCACGAUUAAUAUACUCAAAAGACAAAGAACUCACUUACUCACAGCCCAGGUGGAAAUUUACCCAAUGGAAACUCCACUGAAGGAAAUCUGGAUCAGCUAAGAUAGUCAUGUUUGCUCUUCAUAUCUGAAAUUACGGGGUAGUGGGAAGACUGUCCUUGAUUGUGGCAAGGACGGGCAGCAGGAUGGACUGCACUGUGAGAGGAUGGGGAAUGAGUACUGGAGGAUCACAUGACUGGUGCUAAGGAGAAAACCUACAGAAAGAGAUGGAGGUAGCAAUGGUCUACUUUCUCCAUUAGUUACUGUCCUCUUUUUUUUCUUUUAAUUUUCUUUUAAAUGACUACUUCUGAGUUAUUCACACCCGUCUUUGACUGUAAAUGAAUAGAACAUUCCAGGAUGCAGUCGAAGAGUUUAUACACUGCAACAAUGUGGUAGCAGAUAGCAGGCCACUCUUCUUAGACAUAUUUAUGAGAUCUUCAAUGACUGGGCUUUCCAUAUCUUUCCUCCAUAUUUUGAUACAGAUUCUAAUGAAACUCUUACUUUCCUUCUGUCCCAGCACUGAAGAACUAAUAAAAUAUAUUCUGUCCUUCAGAGAAAGGUGUCUAAUACUUUCAAUAUUUUGAUUUAUAGAAGAAUUUCUCAAAGCCAAUGAAUAAUAGCAUUUGCCCUUUCUCAAGAAGGGAAGAUUUGCUAAGUUCUGGCAACCAAAGAAAUAAUUAAGCUAAUUUCUCCACAGACCUUGGAAAAGUGGCAACAAAUAAUGAAUUUGUCCUUUAAGAAACAUUUUAAACAAGCAUCACACAGCCAUUUAAGGCAGCUCCAGAUCAGCCAUCGGUUAUUUUUCUCAUUAAGGCCAUGCUUAUAUUGCUC